rnacentral:tRNA from 3 species
UCCCCUGUAGCUCAGCAGGCAGAGCAGCUGGCUGUUAACCAGCGGGCCGUAGGUUCGAGCCCUACCGGGGGAG